rnacentral:rRNA from 1 species
UACGUAGGGGGCAAGCGUUGUCCGGAAUCAUUGGGCGUAAAGAGCGUGUAGGCGGCCCGAUAAGUCCGCUGUGAAAGUCCAGGGCUCAACCCUGGAAUGCCGGUGGAUACUGUCGGGCUCGAGUUCGGAAGAGGUGAGUGGAAUUCCUGGUGUAGCGGUGAAAUGCGCAGAUAUCAGGAGGAACACCAAUAGCGAAGGCAGCUCGCUGGGACGUUACUGACACUGAGGCGCGAAAGCGUGGGGAGCGAACAGG